CGUGUAGGCGGUCCGCUAAGUCUGAUGUGAAAGCCCGGGGCUCACCCCCGGAAGGGCAUUGGAAACUGGCGGACUCGAGUCCCGGAGAGGAGGGUGGAAUUCCUGGUGUAGCGGUGAAAUGCGUAGAUAUCAGGAGGAACACCGGUGGCGAAGGCGGCCCUCUGGACGGUGACUGACGCUGAGACGCGAAAGCGUGGGGAGCAAAACA
rnacentral:rRNA from 1 species